GUAGGUGGCAAGCGUUGUCCGGAAUUAUUGGGCGUAGAGCGCGCGCAGGUGGUUCUUUAAGUCUGAUGUGAAAGCCCCCGGCUCAACCGGGGAGGGUCAUUGGAAACUGGGGAACUUGAGUGCAGGAGAGGAAAGUGGAAUUCCACGUGUAGCGGUGAAAUGCGUAGAUAUGUGGAGGAACACCAGUGGCGAAGGCGACUUUCUGGCCUGUAACUGACACUGAGGCGCGAAAGCGUGGGGAGCAAACAGGGGGUUAGAUACCCUGGUAGUCCACGCCGUAAACGAUGAGUGCUAAGUGUUGGGGGGGUUUCCCGCCCCUCAGUGCUGCAGCUAACGCAUUAAGCACUCCGCCUGGGGAUACGGCCGCAAGACUG
rnacentral:rRNA from 1 species